ACGAACGACGCCAUCUUGUCAGUCUUUACAGUCCUGAUUUUGUCGCGGCUGUGUCGACCCGUGUCGGCGCGUUUGUAUCGCGGUCGGUGAUGUUUUCGGGCUAAAUGUGCGUGAAGUAUGAGUCAAUCUAUUUUCUUGUACAAUGUAGACAUACAGUUUCAGAGUGAAUUAGGUGCAGUCGUCGGACGAUUGGAUUAACGUGCGAUUGCCGGUCGCAACUUCGUAACGGCUUUGCUUUCAUCGUCUCGAAAACCGGGAAGUGUUAUUGUCGCUGCAGUUUCUAUCGAAGCGGUGUGCCUAUGUUUUUAAAUUCGCGACAAGUUCCGUCUGUUUCCGAAUUCCCCGAAACAAACCCUUUGAAGUGUGUUAUAAAGUUAUUGUCCGAAGUUGAUCCGGAAGGCGUGCGUGGAUACAUUGCGAGAAGUAAGUUAGGGGAGCAAGAAUGAUUGUGUACACAGUGAUUGAUCAUCGUUAAAAGGCAUAGCAAUCGUAUCACUUUUCAAAACCAGCUGCACACCGAUCGCUACUUCGUAUCUAUCGCUCAAAGGCCGAUAUUAUUCGAUCAACGGUCAGUGGGAUUUACAAUGCUGAACAACCUCUCCAAGUCGCCAUAAGAAAACAAGCCGUGAGAUAGGAUGUUCGAGAAUGAUGGAUACCGGCCAGGCUUUUUUCUAAAUGUGAACGAGGACCGUUCGGUCUUACUUCCUGAACGUUAACGACGAGAAACGGCUUUGACAAUGUCUCCCUUGGAAACUACCGGGGAUAAUUUCGACCUCGAGGACUGUGGAUAGAUAAACACAUCGCCUGGGAACCUCUCCUUUGACGAGGGGGCUUCUUCGGGUAUAAACCGAAUCUCAAAAGUUCUCGCCUGAGAACGAAGCUGGGUAAGAUAUACCCAGUUGCAUAGCGGUGUCAAUCGUCCGUCGAGUCUUUUCGACUCGCGGUGUAAACUUUCGCACAGACUUAGUCGGUGGGCUUCCGCGGCCCACCCUCACACUCGUCAAGCUGGCUAGCGCCCUGACGGCCGGUAUGAAUCCCCACCAUCCUGGCCAUCCCGGUCACCAAGGUCACCCCGGUCACCCGAGUCAUCCAGCAGCCUAUCCGCACCACCAGUCGCUCUCGAGCAGCCCCCAUCACCCGGGGCCCGGAAACGCGCACCACGGAUACACGCCGGGGGGCGGAGG
rnacentral:lncRNA from 1 species